rnacentral:lncRNA from 1 species
CCCAAGGAAGAAGAAGAGAUAUCUGAGUGGCCUGGACAUGGCAUGUAAAAAUGACUCAGCCAACAGCUGGAAAGAAGCUGCUGGCCUUCAGGUCAGGUCAUGAGUCCUCACACGUUUUCAAGAGUUUGGAAAAUGAUCUCCCUUGCCAGAUUGCCAGUCUUCAAAGGGAGGUCUAUAUGUGGAAGAAAAAGAAAAAAUUUGUGUGCAUUUACCCUGUUUAAUACACUCGUCAUAUAUAGUAUUUUUGCAACAGCAAAAAUAACACUCUUAAUUUAGUAUGUAAUUAUAUAUGUCAUAUACUUAAUAUACAAAAUAUUUUUCUUGCUAAUCUAUACGAUUUCAAAUGCCUGGAACAAUAGAUAAUUCAUGUGAUUACUUGAGAGUAUGUAAAUUUUAAUAUGUUAACAUAUACUGGCAAAGUUCUAAAAGUUGCAAUUUUAUGGGAGGCCAAAUUAUGUACAUAUUAGUUUGUCUGAAGACUUGUGAAGUGCAUCGGCUGGCAUGCAGAGAACAAUAAGAAAAAGAACUGAGUUGUCGGAAGACAUGAGGAAAGGACAUGAGGCUCUUAAUAACAGCUGCCAAGUACUGCAGUCGGGAAUCUGGAGCAAAGUGAUUCAAUUCUGACCACUGCCUGUGAGUAAAUGGGAUUUUAUUUUUCAAUACUUUUGUUUAAUAGUACCUCCUUCAUCACAUGUGAACAGCACUCCAGGACAGUAAAUCAUGAAAUGGGAAUAAAGCCUGUAAUUUUAAUUAACAUAUUUUAAAAUGUUUCUAAUUUGCAUGCAUUUGAUCAAAUUUUCAUUUGCAUUGAGCUAUUUUUUUCUUUCUCAUGUAAUGUUUGACAUUACCAUUUCUUUCUUUAAUGAAAUACUAAUAUUUAAUAAAAUAUAUCACAUCCUUAA